rnacentral:rRNA from 1 species
GAUCUGGCUCAGGACGAACGCUGGCGGCGCGCCUAACACAUGCAAGUCGAACGAGCGAGAGAGAGCUUGCUUUCUCGAGCGAGUGGCGAACGGGUGAGUAACGCGUGAGGAACCUGCCUCAAAGAGGGGGACAACAGUUGGAAACGACUGCUAAUACCGCAUAAGCCCACGGCUCGGCAUCGAGCAGAGGGAAAAGGAGCAAUCCGCUUUGAGAUGGCCUCGCGUCCGAUUAG